AGAGUUUGAUCAUGGCUCAGAGCGAACGCUGGCGGCAGGCCUAACACAUGCAAGUCGAGCGCCGUAGCAAUACGGAGCGGCAGACGGGUGAGUAACGCGUGGGAACGUGCCCUUCGGUUCGGAAUAACUCAGGGAAACUUGAGCUAAUACCGGAUACGUCCGUAAGGAGAAAGAUUUAUCGCCGAAGGAUCGGCCCGCGU
rnacentral:rRNA from 1 species